GGGGCCAUGGCGCAAUUGGUAGCGCACCUGCUUUGCAAGCAGGGGUUACGGGUUCGAGUCCCGUUGGCUCCC
rnacentral:tRNA from 1 species